GACGAACGCUGGCGGCGUGCCUAACACAUGCAAGUCGAACGGGGUAGAGGCCUUCGGGCUUCUGCUUAGUGGCGAACGGGUGAGUAACGCGUGAGAAACCUGCCUUUCAGUGGGGGACAACAGUUGGAAACGACUGCUAAUACCGCAUAAUGUAUUCGGGGGGCAUCCCCUGAAUACCAAAGCUUUAUGUGCUGAAAGAUGGUCUCGCGUCUGAUUAGCUAGAUGGCGGGGUAACGGCCCACCAUGGCGACGAUCAGUAGCCGGUCUGAGAGGAUGAACGGCCACAUUGGGACUGAGAUACGGCCCAGACUCCUACGGGAGGCAGCAGUGGGGAAUAUUGGGCAAUGGGGGAAACCCUGACCCAGCAACGCCGCGUGAAGGAAGAAGGCCUUCGGGUUGUAAACUUCUUUUAGCAGGGACGAAGAACGUGACGGUACCUGCAGAAAAAGCAACGGCUAACUACGUGCCAGCCGCCGCGGUAAUAC
rnacentral:rRNA from 1 species